rnacentral:misc_RNA from 1 species
GGCAGCAACGGACAGGACGAGAAUGCCGAUCCCGUCAUGCUGCAACGACGACUGGCUGCGUACACCACCGAGGGCGAGCCCUAUCUGGAGCGGCUGACCGAUCGCAACAUGGUUGUGGAGGGCCGCGCCAACCGCCUGCCGGGCGGCGCGCUGGUCAUCACCUUCUCCGACAUCACGCCGAGUGNNNNNNNNNNGCGGCGGAAGCGCUGGAGCGCGCCAACGCGACGCUGGAGAAGCGUGUGCGUGAACGCACCG